rnacentral:rRNA from 1 species
UACGGAGGGGGCGAGCGUUGUUCGGAAUCACUGGGCGUAAAGCGUGCGUAGGCGGCUUUGUAAGUCAGGAGUGAAAUCCCAGGGCUUAACCCUGGAAUUGCUUUUGAGACUGCAAAGCUAGAGACCCGCAGAGGUUGGCGGAAUUCCGAGUGUAGAGGUGAAAUUCGCAGAUAUUCGGAGGAACACCAGUGGCGUAGGCGGCCAACUGGGCGGGUACUGACGCUGAUGUACGAAAGCGUGGGGAGCAAACAGG